UUUGGGAGCCAUUAGUGAUGGGCAUUCCAAGUAUUUUUUUUACAUUUAUUUGGUUCCUAAACAGCUUAAAAAUGCUUAAAACCUCAGAAACAGAAAAGGCUGGAAUUAUGUAAGAUCAGAAAAUAUACAUUCAAACAGGCUACAACUACACAUUACUUGUCCUCAUUGUUUAAUAUUAGUAUAAUGUUACCCUACUGACCAAAAGUGUGUGGUCAAAAACAAUGCUGUCUCACCACUAAAUAUCGUUGUACGUUUGUUUAUAGUUGGCCACCAGGUUUGUCCCUCUAAGGAGGGACUUUGUCCCACUCCUCUUUGCAGAUCUUCUCCAAGUCAUUAAGGUUUUGAGGCUGACGUUUGGUAACUCAAACUCUCAGCUCCCUCCACAGAUUUUCUAUGGGAUUAAGGUCUGGAGACUGGCUAGACCACUCCAGGAACUUAAUGUGCUUCUUCUGGAAUUUUGGCCGUGUGUUUAGGGUCAUUGCCACGCUAGAAUACCCAUCCACAACCCAUUUCAAUCCCCUCUAGAUUACUGUAGAUUGGUGGAUACUUUAGGUCUUUUAUAAGGUUUAUCAAUGGUAAAACGAACAAUGGGUUUAUACUUGUUUGGCAGACGCACUACAGUAGAACCACUUUAAUACUCAAGCUGGAGCAAGGAAGUAUGAAGUUUUGAUUGUGGGCACAACCAUAAACAAUACAAUAAAAAUAGCAUCUCAGUAAAGACAAACUGAUAUUAGGAGCACUCCCUUUAAGAGUGUGCUCCUGAUCUCAGCUCGUUACCUGUAUAAAAGACACCUGGGAGCCAG
ensembl:lncRNA